rnacentral:snoRNA from 1 species
UAGUCAUUACCAAGGCUUUUAGGAUGCAAUUUCUGAUUUGCUGCGGAGGUGACCGUAAAAAAAAUUCCCCGCUAGGUUUUCUUUUUGCUACCUUGCCAGCGUUCAGCUUAUUGGGAACAUUC